rnacentral:rRNA from 1 species
UACAGAGGUCUCAAGCGUUGUUCGGAUUCAUUGGGCGUAAAGGGUGCGUAGGUGGCAGGCUAAGUCGGAUGUGAAAUCCCAGGGCUCAACCCUGGAACUGCAUUCGAUACUGGUUUGCUUGAGGACUGGAGAGGAGAUUGGAAUUCAUGGUGUAGCAGUGAAAUGCGUAGAUAUCAUGAGGAAGACCAGUGGCGAAGGCGGAUCUCUGGACAGUUCCUGACACUGAGGCACGAAGGCCAGGGGAGCAAACGGG